rnacentral:rRNA from 1 species
CCUACGGGGGGCAGCAGUGGGGAAUAUUGGACAAUGGGGGGAACCCUGAUCCAGCCAUGCCGCGUGUGUGAAGAAGGCCCUCGGGUUGUAAAGCACUUUCAGUGAGGAAGAACGCCUGGUGGUUAAUACCCAUCAGGAAAGACAUCACUCACAGAAGAAGCACCGGCUAACUCCGUGCCAGCAGCCGCGGUAAUACGGAGGGUGCGAGCGUUAAUCGGAAUUACUGGGCGUAAAGCGCGCGUAGGUGGCUUGAUAAGCCGGUUGUGAAAGCCCCGGGCUCAACCUGGGAACGGCAUCCGGAACUGUCAAGCUAGAGUGCAGGAGAGGAAGGUAGAAUUCCCGGUGUAGCGGUGAAAUGCGUAGAGAUCGGGAGGAAUACCAGUGGCGAAGGCGGCCUUCUGGACUGACACUGACACUGAGGUGCGAAAGCGUGGGUAGCAGACAGGAUUAGAUACCCGAGUAGUC